GGAUGGGCCGACUGUGGUCGCAUGGCUAGAGCUUUGGUUGGGAAUGCCUGCGUGGUACGUGGCAGCCUGCCGAGCCAACGUGAAGAGUGGUGCCAUCAUGUCUGCUUUAUCUGACACUGAGAUCCAGAGAGAAAUUGGAAUCAGCAAUCCACUGCAUCGCUUAAAACUUCGAUUAGCAAUCCAGGAGAUGGUUUCCCUAACAAGUCCUUCAGCUCCUCCAACAUCUCGAACUGUGAGUCAGUUUCUGCUCCUCCCCUUCCUCAGUGCUAGGCAAAUAGCCGUGUGUCUAAGUCUACAGAGCAAAAUUGUGACAGCACACAUUUCAAUGUCAGCUUGAAUUAUUCUCAAGAGAUUAAGCUUGCUCUUUAUUAACCUUGCUGCUACUUUUAAUAGGUUUUCAAAUGAGGAACUAUGAUUCAUAUCAGACGUGAAAGCUAGCAUAGCAGACUUUUGAGCUAGCAUCUGAAGUUUAGAUUUUUCUCCCA
rnacentral:sRNA from 1 species